rnacentral:rRNA from 1 species
UACAGGGGGGGCAAGCGUUGUUCGGAAUUACUGGGCGUAAAGGGUUCGUAGGUGGCCACCUAAGUCAGACGUGAAAUCCCUCAGCUUAACUGGGGAACUGCGUCUGAUACUGGGUGGCUUGAGUGCAGGAGAGGAAUGCGGAAUUCCAGGUGUAGCGGUGAAAUGCGUAGAUAUCUGGAGGAACACCGGUGGCGAAGGCGGCAUCCUGGACCGGCAUUGACGCUGAGGCGCGAAAGCCAGGGGAGCAAACGGG